rnacentral:lncRNA from 1 species
UAAUAAUUUAAAGUACACAUUCUUUUUAUUCCUUCUCACUUUUUUCUAUUAGAUCACGUCACAUAAUGAUAUAAAUAUAUACGACCAAAGGUUGUGGUGGGAUGACAAGUACUCCUCUAUCCUUAGCCAUAAGUCUUAAGUUCAAGCCCGUGAAAUGAAAUCGCCUUUGGUAAGGAAUGUUUAAACUCCAACAGUGAAACUUUCCAAUGCGAAUCAGGAUAGUCCCAAAACAACACCAAGUGGCUCUAGAUCAUCAAUUGCAUUGAGCCGUCCCUGCUUAAAACUUUAGCUGGAACAAUCAAAUUAUAUUUUGUGAAAAAGAAAAACCUAAAAAAAAAAAAAGCAAACAUGUUCAACUAGAAGAAUGAAAAGAAAAAGGUAAUAUAGUUGGUCAGACAUUGUUAAAAGGCUUACGUGGUUUUCCACAUUAACCCCAUGAUGGGAUAUUGGAAUCUGGGAAAUCAUGCAAUUGGACAUCAUAAAAGACGACAACCAUUUUAUUUCUUUAAGUUAAAUUAAACUAAAGAGGGCUGGCCUUGCUCCUCUAUUCAGACUUGCAUAGGAAUAUGAGACGCUCCAUUUGAAAGUCAAGCCUUUUUUCCAUUUGUCAUCAUUUUUAACAGAUCUCUGUUGCUCUCUAAGCUAAGAAUAACAGUGAAAAAACAAAGAGAGAGAGAGAGAGCGCUAUGGCUUAUGCUGCUGUGACCUCUCUUAUGUCAACUCUUGGAUUGCUACUGCAAUCCAAUUCCCGUUUAAAUCUUCCCAACGAAGAGCAAACUGAAUCUCUUCACAAAAGAGUAAAAGAACAGAUUCAAUCCUUUCGCCAAAAAGUCGGUUCACUGCAAGCGCUUCUUGAAACAUUGGAGAAGAAUAUCAAUGAUCCUAAGACAAUUGAACAUUGUGAAGUCAAGAUCAAAGAUGCAGCACAUGAUGCAGAAUAUCGAAUUGAAUCAGUAUUGGAAAAAUUUUACAAGGCUCAAAAUGAAAAAAUUAGUAGAGAAGCUUAUGAGGAGUUUUGCAAGAGGUUGCAAAAAGCAUCUGAGUCCAUAGAUUCCAAUUCCAGAAAGUUAACUGAAAGUAUGAAGAGUGGUUUGCAGGCAACUAGUUCACUUAUCCAAAGUUUUGAUUUACCAGAACAUUCUCCACAACUUGGCAAUAGCAUGGUUGGACAUGAAAAUGAACUGGAGGAUGUGAAGUGUAAACUCAUGAAAAUCUCAUCCGAUGAAAGAGAAACUAUGGCAAUCACAGGUAUGGGGGGCAUAGGCAAGACAACCUUUGCUAGAAAAAUUUAUGAUGAUCCAGAAAUUAAAUCACAUUUUGACAUUCUAGCAUGGGUUACUGUGUCAAAGGAAUACUGUGUUAGAAAGAUGUUGCUGCAGCUUCUUCAUUGUAUUCCAUCAACGGAAGAAGUACGCCGUGAAGCAAGGGAUGAUGGUGAGCUAGCAGGCAAAUUGAAACAGAGGCUGUGGAAACGCAGGUACCUAGUUGUCAUCGACGAUAUAUGGAGCAGCAAAGCUUGGGAUGAUAUAAGUCUAUGGUUUCCAGAUUGCAAAGGAAGUCAUAUCCUACUUACCACAAGGUGCGGGAAUGUGGCCAGUUAUGCUGCUCCAGGUAAGACUCCUCAUCACAUGUCUUCUCUAAGUCCGGAGAAAAGUUGGGAACUAUUGCAAUCGAAGCUUCUUGAGAAAGUAGAGCUCUCUCCAGAAUUAGUAAAAAUUGGAAAGAAAAUUGCAGAAAAUUGUCAUGGAAUGCCUUUGACUAUUACUGUAGUUGCUGGAAUUCUAUCUAAAUGCAACAAUGCAUUAGAAGGAUGGAAGCGAGUAGCACAUGAUGUAAAAUCAGCAAUAUUUAAAGAUCUUGGUAGACAAUGCGAAAAGGUCCUUGGGUUAAGUUACUACUAUCUUCCUCAACACCUAAAGGCUUGCUUUCUAUAUUUUGGAAUUUUUCCCGAAGAUGAAGAAGUUGAUGUGAGAAGAUUAGUGGAGCUAUGGGUUGCACGGGGAUUUUUAAAGGAAGCUGAUAAUAAAAGUUUGGAGGACAUAGCUGGAGAAUGUUUGCAAGAACUUAUAGAUAGAAAUCUGGUUCUUGUAAGCGGGCAGAGUUUUUGGGGAGAAGUGGAAACAUGUAAGAUCCAUGACCUCUUACAUGAGUUAUGCUUAAGACAAGCUCGAAGUGAGAACUUCCUACCUGUUACAAAAAGUAAACCACUGAAUCGAGUCACGUGUGUCUCCCGAUCAUCUGUACAGGAUUGUCUAAUGAUUGUUCGCUCAAUUAGCGAUUUUUAUUGGUUAAACUCUCUUCGCCGUGAUCAAAAGAAAAUACGCACUAUUGUCUAUAAAGGUGAACGCAAACGUGCGGAGAGAGAAAGAUUCGAAUUCAAGAUCUUCAAAAUGAUCAGAGUAUUGGACUUGAGAAAGUUAUACUUUGAUAAUGGUAUUCCAACUUCAGUAUUUGAUUUAGUGCACCUAAGGUAUCUAUCCUUGUACAUUGAAAAACAUGAAUAUAUCCCUCUUUCCAAACUUCAAAAUUUGCAAAUUUUGAUUGUUGAAAUAGGAAAGAAUUGGGCAGAUAAGGUGCCUAUAGAAAUUUGGAGGAUGCCACAGUUAAGGACUGUACGCUUUGUCAAGACAGGAUGGCAAUGUCCUCCCAAUAUGCCAAUAGGUGAAAGGGAGCAUACGGUUUUACAACACCUACAUACUUUAACUGGUGUUGGUGCUGCAUGGUGUAAAAAAGAAAUCUUUGCAUUAAUGCCUAACUUGAAGAACCUGGAAAUUGUGUUAGGCGGAGUUACUCGCGAUUUGUGGAAACGUAUUUCCUGUUUGCCUCUAAUUGAGGUACUUAGAAUUAUAGUUGGAAAAAUUGAUUAUAGUGCCUUUUCCCUGUACAGAUCAAAAGCACAUGCCGAUUUUUUGAAAUAUCGAAGCACUUUUCCACCAACCCUUAGAAGGUUGACAUUAGGUGGGACAUGUCUUCCUUGGGAGGCUAUGGACAUAGUUGGCAUGUUGCCUAACCUCGAGAUACUGGAACUGGAAGACGAUGCCUGCGGAGUUAAACCUAAGACCGCGUGGAAACCCUCCGAAGAAGGGUUUCCUCAAUUAAAGUUCUUGUCACUAUGUCAUAUGCUUUGUUUCACAGAGUGGAAGGCUACAGAAGAUCAUUUUCCUGUCUUGGAGAGACUAUUUAUAUCUCAUUGUCCGCGGCUAGAAGAGAUCCCACAAGAAUUUGCAAAUAUUUUUACACUUCAAUUGAUCGAGUUACAUGACUGCUGUAUUCACCUGGCCAUAUCAGCACAGCAGAUUGAACAAGAGCAAGAAGCCACUUAUGGAAGCCAAGUGACAAAUGUCCAUACAUACAAUUGUGGACAAGGUAAGAUCAUCCAUGUUUGAUCGUGCUUUGACAAAUAGAACAUAUCACCAAGCUUUUUAGUGAGUGUUAAAUAUUUCUUUCUUCUGGAGUUUUGAUUUGAUCAACUUCAUCACUAAUGUGUUAAAAUAGCUAUCGACUGAAUUGAAGGAAGAGGAAAAAAGGGAGAGGAGAGGGGGCAAAUUUUAAAAUGAAUAAAACCUCUGAACAUAUUUUGAUGAAAAAACUACACUAAAGCCUUCUAAUCCUUUCAUUUCUCUUGUGGCCGUUUCAACGACAAUAACAACAACAAACCCAGUGUGAUCCCACAAGUAGGGUCUGGGGAGGAUAGUGUCUAUACAGCCUUACCCUUACCUUGUGAGGGUAGAGAUAUCUUGUGGCUGUUUCAUACGGUAAAAUUUGAUGCACAUUGCUUAGUCUCCUGCACUCCUCUCUUCUCUUUAACUUGACAAUUCGAGUACAGUAGAAGUUUUUUAAUAUGGUUGAGGAAAUAUUAGUACAAUGUUUUUUUAAAUUUGACAUUUCGAAACACUUGAGUUAUUUGAAUUGCACUGAAUUCUUAGAGUAACUUUGUUACAUUUGGCAUACCACUUAUACACCAACUUUUAUAACAAUAAUAUCAUUGGGAAUGAUUUAACACAGAAAGAGCUAGAAAUAUAUUGGUUUUGAACUUAUUUAUUACUAGUAUUUUUUAUAUGCGUGAAGAUUAUAAUUUAACUGUAAUUUGAUGGUUAAGAUGCUAAUAUAUUGGUUUUGAACUUAUUUAUUACUAGUAUUUUUUAUAUGCGUGAAGAUUAUAAUUUAACUGUAAUUUGAUGGUUAAGAUGCUAAUAUUUGUACUUCUUUUCUUUUUAAUAGCUUACUGCUUCCAAUGUCAACAUGUACUGAAGAGAAAUUCCUGCUGACUGAGGGAGGUAGUUGCAACCAUACUUCAUCAAACUUCGUUUAGAGCUUUCUAUUUUCCUUGAGCAUGGUGUUAAGAAAUUAAGAUCCUUAUGCAUUUGGUUGUGUUUUUAUUUCUUGCUUUUCAUUUUCAGUCGUCAUUUUUUAAUGCGAAAAUAAUAUUUGAACAAAAAAUACCCCUACUUAACACACUAAUAUAUUCAGAAUAAAAUAUGUCAGAGGAAAAUGUGUGUCAUGAAAUCCAGAUUUAAUUAUUUCUAUAUUCCAGUUUUUUUCAGCAGUGAAUAGCACAAAAAUUAUAGUAAAGGUAAUUUUAGAAAAUUGAGAGCAUUCAAAUCAAAUUUGGUUGCUUCACCUGUUUUCUUUCUCUCGCCGGCGAC